UACGUAGGGCGCAAGCGUUGUCCGGAAUUAUUGGGCGUAAAGAGCUCGUAGGUGGCUUGUCACGUCGGGUGUGAAAGCUUGGGGCUUAACUCCAGGUCUGCAUUCGAUACGGGCUGGCUAGAGGUAGGUAGGGGAGAACGGAAUCCCUGGUGUAGCGGUGAAAUGCGCAGAUAUCAGGAGGAACACCGGUGGCGAAGGCGGUUCUCUGGGCCUUACCUGACGCUGAGGAGCGAAAGCGUGGGGAGCGAACAGG
rnacentral:rRNA from 1 species